CCCAGUAAGAGGGGGAUAACAUCCGGAAACGGGUGCAUACCGCAUAGUUUUCUUGAUCGCAUGGAUCGGGAAAGGAAAGACGGCCUUUGUGCUGUCGCUUAUGGAUGGACCCGCGGCGUAUUAGUUAGUUGGUGAGGUAAUGGCUCACCAAGACGAUGAUACGUAGCCGACCUGAGAGGGUGAUCGGCCACAUUGGACUGAGACACGGCCCAACUCCUACGGGAGGCAGCAGUAGGGAAUCUUCCGCAAUGGACGAAAGUCUGACGGAGCAACGCCGCGUGAGUGAAGAAGGUUUUUUCCGGAUCGUAAAACUCUGUUGUCAGAGAAGAACAAGUUGGAGAGUAACUGCUCCAGCCUUGACGGUAUCUGACCAGAAAGCCACGGCUAACUACGUGCCAGCAGCCGC
rnacentral:rRNA from 1 species